AAUAGAUACCCGGGUAGUCCAUGCCGUAAACGUUGGGCGCUAGGUGUGGGACUCAUUCCACGAGUUCCGUGCCGCAGCUAACGCAUUAAGCGCCCCGCCUGGGGAGUACGGCCGCAAGGCUAAAACUCAAAGGAAUUGACGGGGGGCCCGCACAAGCGGCGGAGCAUGCGGAUUAAUUCGAUGCAACGCGAAGAACCUUACCAAGGCUUGACAUACACCGGAAUCGCUCAGAGAUGGGUGCGUCUUCGGACUGGUGUACAGGUGGUGCAUGGUUGUCGUCAGCUCGUGUCGUGAGAUGUUGGGUUAAGUCCCGCAACGAGCGCAACCCUCGUUCUAUGUUGCCAGCACGUGAUGGUGGGGACUCAUAGGAGACUGCCGGGGUCAACUCGGAGGAAGGUGGGGAUGACGUCAAAUCAUCAUGCCCCUUAUGUCUUGGGCUUCACGCAUGCUACAAUGGCCGGUACAAAGGGCUGCGAACCGUAAGGUGGAGCGAAUCCCGAAAAAACCGGUCUCAGUUCGGAUUGGGGUCUGCUAACC
rnacentral:rRNA from 1 species